AGGAGGGCCGGGGCCCCACGUGCCGGCCGCAGUGACACCAACAUGGCCGCCGCCUGAAGCCGCCCGCCGCGCCGCGCACCGACACCGGGGACCGGCGGCCCGGCCGCCCGCGCGGCGCCUCCGCCAGAUUGUGCCAAGGAAUAAGCCAAGGAAAAGCUUUUUGUAUCCUAGCAUGGCAAAUGAAGAAGAUGAUCCAAUUAUACAAGAGAUUGAUGUAUUCCUGGCCAGAAGUCUGCUGGAGAAGUUGUAUCUGUUUCAGUACCCAAUUCGUCCAGCUUCCAUGACAUAUGAUGAUGUUACACAUUUAUCAGCGAAGAUAAAGCCAAAGCAGCAAAAGGUUGAACUGGAAAUGGCCAUUGAUACUUUGAAUCCAAACUACUGUCGCAGCAAAGGAGAACAGAUUGCUCUCAAUGUAGAUGGCACUUGUACAGAUGAAACAAGUACCUAUUCCUCGAAGCUGAUGGACAAACAAACUUUCUGCUCUUCGCAAGCUGCAAGUAAUGUUUCCCGCUAUGCAGCUGCUGUUUAUAGAAAAGGUGAACUUCAUCUGACUCCACUGCAUGGAAUUCUUCAGCUGAGGCCAAGUUUCACCUACUUGGAUAAAGCUGAUGCAAAACACCGCGAAAGAGAAGCUGCUAAUGAAGGUGGUGAUUCAUCCCAGGAUGAAGCUGAAGAUGACAUUAAGCAAAUUACUGUACGGUUUUCCCGCCCUGAGACUGAGCAAGCUCGUCAAAGACGUGUUCAGUCCUAUGAAUUCUUGCAGAAGAGACAAGCAGAAGAGCACUGGGUUCAUCUCCAUUAUUAUGGCUUGAAGGAUAGUCGUUCAGAACACGAGCGCCAGUAUUUAUUCAGCCAAGGUCACGGCCUCGCUGAGAAUACAGAACUAAUAAAAUCUCCCAGUGAAUAUUUAAUGAUGCUGAUGCCUCCAAGUGUAGAGGAAGAGAAUAGCAAGCCAGUGGCUCCAAGCAACGUACUUUCUAUGGCCCAGCUGAGAACUUUACCCCUUGCUGAUCAGAUUAAGAUCCUGAUGAAGAAUGUGAAGGUGAUGCCAUUUGCAAAUCUGAUGAGUUUGCUGGGCUCUGGGACUGACUCUACAGCAGUUCUCCGCUGCAUUCAGCAGGUGGCGAUGCUGGUCCAGGGAAACUGGGUGGUGAAGAGUGAUGUGCUCUACCCAAAAGACUCUUCCAGUCCGCAUAGUGGAGUCCCUGCAGAAGUGCUUUGUAGAGGGAGAGACUUUGUUAUGUGGAAGUUCACACAGGACCGCUGGGUUGUACGAAAGGAAGUAGCGGCAGUUACAAAACUUUGCCCUGAAGAUGUGAAAGACUUCCUUGAGCACAUGUCUGUGGCAAGAAUAAACAAAGGUUGGGAGUUCAUGCUCCCUUAUGAUGAAGACUUCGUUAAGAAGCAUCCAGAUAUAGUUCAGAGGCAACGUAUGCUGUGGAUGGGCAUUCAGGCCAAAUUAGAAAAAGUCUAUAAUCUUGUAAAGGAACACUUGACACCAAAGAAACAAGAGGCACAAUCAGGCAAUCCAUUGCUGGUUUCCGGGGAGCAAAGAGUCAACAUGGCAAAAGCAAAAGUCAAGCAGAACUAUGGGCAGCUGGACAAGGAGUUCCAGAAGCAAAAGGCAGAACUGAAAUCAAAUGAUGCUUCAUCUAAGAUAGAUGUUUCCAAUAUCCGCAUUAAAGAGGAGCCUGUGAGUGACGAGGAGCCCAUGGACACCUCUGUGUAUGAGGGCCUGAACAACGGAAUCAUCAAUGGCCUCCACACGGAGGAAGACUCCACGGACACCUUAAAUGGCCACUUGCCUGGAGGCUGCAGCGAUCGGGUAGCCCAAGAACUGAAGGAAUUUGUGUCCUCAACGUUUAAGAAACAAUUUGUGCUCACCUUGAGUGAGCUUAAACGGUUGUUUAACCUUCAUUUAGCCAGUCUGCCUCCAGGACAUAUAUUGUUCAGUGGCAUUUCAGACAAAAUGUUACAGGACAUGGUGUUGGACGUUGGCUGCAAACAGAUUUUGGUGCCUCCUCUUGUUCUCAGUUUCCUCCACAGACUGCUGCUUCACCAGAUGAGCUAAAGGUUUAUGCACUUUGGGAAGCCGGUGACAUUUAUGAUCAGCAUCGCCAAGUUUUGCUUGAAAUUUUUUCGAAAAAUUAUCGAGUGCGCAGAAAUGUCAUUCAGAAUCAGCUGAGUCAAGACCUGAACAAGCAGGAGGUGGAUAGAGUGUUAAAGGACUGCUGUGUGAGCUAUGGUGGAAUGUGGUAUCUUAAAGGGACUGUGCAGUCUUGACGACAGCUGUGGCAGUUUCUGUGCUUCAGAUGCUCUCCAGGAUGAAAGAGGAAACCUGCGGUGGGCAGCACAGACAUGGCCUCAGGAGUGUGGGGCAGGAGCUGACCUACUUUGGGGCAUGUGGCAUUGCAGACAGUCACUGACAUUUACAGCACACUCACACAUAAGUUUGCAUGGCUGCCUGGGUGCAGAGAGCAACUAGGAAGACAACAUGGGACCCUGUCUGCAGUUUGAUUAAUCUGGGAUUUCUAAUGUAUUUUGCUUCUCCUUCUCUUUCCUUAUAAUAAAAUAAAACCAUAUACUGACACAGACAUGAUGGAAAAUCAUGGUCUAAUAUUUUAUUUUGUAAGUAAGUGAUGCCAAUAAAUUAAAUUUGUUUACAAACA